rnacentral:rRNA from 1 species
UACGUAGGGUGCAAGCGUUGUCCGGAAUUAUUGGGCGUAAAGAGCGUGUAGGCGGCCAUGUAGGUCCGUUGUGAAAACUCGAGGCUCAACCUCGAGACGCCGAUGGAAACCAUGUGGCUAGAGUCCGGAAGAGGAGAGUGGAAUUCCUGGUGUAGCGGUGAAAUGCGCAGAUAUCAGGAAGAACACCCGUGGCUAAGGCGGCUCUCUAGUACGGUACUGACGCUGAGACGCGAAAGCGUGGGGAGCGAACAGG